UACGAAGGGGGCUAGCGUUGCUCGGAAUCACUGGGCGUAAAGGGUGCGUAGGCGGGUCUUUAAGUCAGGGGUGAAAUCCUGGAGCUCAACUCCAGAACUGCCUUUGAUACUGGCGAUCUCGAGUCCGGGAGAGGUGAGUGGAACUGCGAGUGUAGAGGUGAAAUUCGUAGAUAUUCGCAAGAACACCAGUGGCGAAGGCGGCUCACUGGCCCGGUACUGACGCUGAGGUGCGAAAGCGUGGGAGCAAACAGG
rnacentral:rRNA from 1 species